rnacentral:tRNA from 1 species
GAGACACUAGUAAAAGAUUACAUUGCCUUGUCAAGGCAAAAUUGCAGGUUAAACCCCUGCGUGUCUUA